UGCUUUCAUGCACACUCAGCAGAGGACUGGGCACCAUGGACCCGAAUCCUGGGAGGACAUGGUCAACAGGCAAGCAGAUUGCUCAGCGUGGCACCCCACACGUAGCGACCGCUGGAUGUGCUUGAAACAAAUAUUUAAUUUUGGUGCUAUUUCUAGCCCCACAUUAUGAAUGAAGAAACUGAGGGCUUUGGCACUUGCCCAAGAUCCUCUAGCUGGAGCUGGUAUUUGAACCAAAACAGCUGGACUCUGUGAAUUUCUGACUGCUUCUGUAACAAAUGACCACAGGU